UGGCUCAGAACGAACGCUGGCGGCGUGCUUAUACAUGCAAGUCGAACGAGAAAGGUCCUUCGGGGCUGAGUAGAGUGGCGCACGGGUGAGUAAUACAUAUGUAAUCUACCUAAAAGUUUGGGAUAACUCUCCGAAAGGAGGGCUAAUACCGGAUAAGCUUACAGUAUCUACGGAUGCAGUAAGAAAAGAUGGCCUAUGCUUGCAAGCUAUCGCUUUUAGAUGGGCAUGUGCUCCAUUAGCUUGUUGGUAGGGUAAUGGCCUACCAAGGCGACGAUGGAUAGCUGGUCUGAGAGGAUGAUCAGCCACACUGGAACUGAGACACGGUCCAGACUCCUACGGGAGGCAGCAGUAGGGAAUUUUGCGCAAUGGGGGAAACCCUGACGCAGCAACGCCGCGUGAGUGAUGAAGGCCUUCGGGUCGUAAAGCUCUGUCAGUUGGGAAGAAAGUGCAUAUUCAAAAUAUGUGUAUGCAUUGACGGUACCUUCAAAGGAAGCACCGGCUAAUUCCGUGCCAGCAGCCGCGGUAAUACGGGGGGUGCUAGCGUUGUUCGGAGUUACUGGGCGUAAAGGGUGUGUAGGUGGUUUAGUAAGUCAGAUGUGAAAGCCUAUGGCUCAACCAUAGAAUUGCAUUUGAAACUGCCGAACUUGAGUACGGUAGAGGGUGACGGAAUUCCUAGUGUAGAGGUGAAAUUCGUAGAUAUUAGGAGGAACACCGGUGGCGAAGGCGGUCACCUGGACCUGUACUGACGCUAAGACACGAAAGCGUGGGGAGCAAACAGGAUUAGAUACCCUGGUAGUCCACGCUGUAAACGAUGGAUAUUAGAUGUUGGAAGUAUUUGACCCUUUCAGUAUCAAAGCUAACGCGUUAAAUAUCCCGCCUGGGGACUACGGUCGCAAGAUUAAAACUCAAAGAAAUUGACGGGGGCCCGCACAAGCGGUGGAGCAUGUGGUUCAAUUCGAGGCAACGCGAAAAACCUUACCUGGGCUUGACAUCCCUAGACAACCCUAGAGAUAGGGCUUUCUCUUCGGAGACUAGGUGACAGGUGCUGCAUGGCUGUCGUCAGCUCGUGUCGUGAGAUGUUGGGUUAAGUCCCGCAACGAGCGCAACCCUUACCUUUAGUUGCCAUCAUUAAGUUGGGCACUCUAAAGGGACUGCCGGUGUUAAACCGGAGGAAGGUGGGGAUGACGUUAAGUCCUCAUGGCCUUUAUGUCCAGGGCCACACACGUGCUACAAUGGCUGGUACAAAGGGAGGCUAACCCGCGAGGGGGCGCUAAUCCCAAAAAGCCAGUCCCAGUUCGGAUUGGAGUCUGCAAUUCGACUCCAUGAAGCUGGAAUCGCUAGUAAUCGCGGAUCAGCAUGCCGCGGUGAAUGCGUUCUCGGGCAUUGUACACACCGCCCGUCACGCCAUGGAAGUUGGUUGAACCAGAAGUCACUGGGCUAACUCUUCGGAGGAGCAGGUGCCUAAGGUUUGGCU
rnacentral:rRNA from 1 species